GACGUAGGAUGCAAGCGUUGUCCGGAAUUAUUGGGCGUAAAGAGUUCGUAGGCGGUUACCCAAGUCUGGUGUUAAAUCCCGAAGCUUAACUUCGGCAUGGCAUUGGAAACUAGGUAGCUAGAGUGUGGUAGAGGUAAAGGGAAUUCCAGGUGUAGCGGUGAAAUGCGUAGAUAUCUGGAGGAACACCGGCGGCGAAAGCGCUUUACUGGGCCAUAACUGACGCUGAGGAACGAAAGCCAGGGUAGCAAAAGGG
rnacentral:rRNA from 1 species